UACGUAGGGUGCAAGCGUUGUCCGGAAUUAUUGGGCGUAAAGAGCUCGUAGGCGGUUCGUCACGUCGGCUGUGAAAUCCCGAGGCUCAACCUCGGGUCUGCAGUCGAUACGGGCGGACUUGAGUACUGCAGGGGAGACUGGAAUUCCUGGUGUAGCGGUGAAAUGCGCAGAUAUCAGGAGGAACACCGGUGGCGAAGGCGGGUCUCUGGGGCCGAUACUGACGCUGAGGAGCGAAAGCGUGGGGAGCGAACAGG
rnacentral:rRNA from 1 species